rnacentral:rRNA from 1 species
GAGUUUGAUCGUGGCUCAGAUUGUACGCUGGCGGCAUGCCUUACACAUGCAAGUCGAACGGCAGCAUGAUCUAGCUUGCUAGAUUGAUGGCGAGUGGCGAACGGGUGAGUAAUACAUCGGAACGUGCCCUGUAGUGGGGGAUAACUAGUCGAAAGAUUAGCUAAUACCGCAUACGACCUGAGGGUGAAAGUGGGGGACCGCAAGGCCUCAUGCUAUAGGAGCGGCCGAUGUCUGAUUAGCUAGUUGGUGGGGUAAAGGCCCGACCAAGGCGACGAUCAGUAGCUGGUCUGAGAGGACGAUCAGCCACACUGGGACUGAGACACGGCCCAGACUCCUACGGGAGGCAGCAGUGGGGAAUUUUGGACAAUGGGCGAAAGCCUGAUCCAGCAAUGCCGCGUGUGUGAAGAAGGCCUCGG